rnacentral:tRNA from 1 species
GGGGCCAUAGCUCAGUUGGGAGAGCGCCUCGCUUGCACCGAGGAGGGCGCGGGUUCGAGUCCCGCUGGCUCCA